rnacentral:misc_RNA from 1 species
UUGACGAGAACAUGAUUCCCUCCNCNUGGGGAAAGUCCCGGAGCGUACUUGGUUCGGAUUUUGGCCAACCGCGUGAGGUAACACACGGGAGACCAKCUUCCGUCCCGUAUCCUAGGAAGGAUUGGGGGACGACGCUUUGUGACACCCAGGCAGACGUGCCCUCGGGCAGAAGGCUUGGGGCGGAACUUGCGUUCAAAGACUCGAUGGUUCACGGSAUUCUGCAAUUCACACCAAGUAUCGCAUUUCGCUACGUUCUUCAUCGAUGCGAUAGCCGAKAUAUCCGUUGCCGAGAGUUKUUUUAAAUUUUAUA